GGACCCGCACAAGCGGUGGAGCAUGUGGUUUAAUUCGACGCAACGCGAAGAACCUUACCAGGGCUUGACAUCCCGUGACCGCCAUGGAAACAUGGUUUUCAGGCCUUCGGGCCUGACACGGAGACAGGUGGUGCAUGGUUGUCGUCAGCUCGUGUCGUGAGAUGUUGGGUUAAGUCCCGCAACGAGCGCAACCCCUAUUUUUAGUUGCCAGCGAGUAAAGUCGGGAACUCUAAAGAAACUGCCGGUGACAAACCGGAGGAAGGUGGGGACGACGUCAAAUCAUCAUGCCCUUUAUGUCCUGGGCUACACACGUGCUACAAUGGUCGGUACAGAGGGCAGCGAAACCGCGAGGUGGAGCGAAUCCCAAAAAGCCGAUCUCAGUUCGGAUUGCAGGCUGACAACCCGCCUGCAUGAAGUCGGAAUCGCUAGUAAUCGCGAGUCAGCAUAUCG
rnacentral:rRNA from 1 species